CCCCUCUCUCCCUCUCAUCGUCGCGCCUAAACCCUUGCGGCGAUCGCAGCAGCAGCCAUGGCGGUCGGGAAGAACAAGAGGAUCUCGAAGGGGAAGAAGGGAGGGAAGAAGAAGACGUAGUAAGUUUAGCUGCAUUCCUCUUCUUUUCAGGUGAUAUAUACAUGAGGAAGCAAAGGAAUCAAUGCACUUGGAGCAAUAAAAAUUUUAGUUGCAUAUGGAGGAAAUUCAAGGGAAAAAGAUCCAAUUCAAGGAAUUCAGAUUAGACAGAUAUGUCACAAGAUGAGGGAGAUUAUGAUCAAUCAAACCACAACGUGUGAUCUGAAAGGUUUGAUGCAGAAAUUCACACCCGAGAUGAUUGGGAAGGAGAUUGAGAAAAGCUUCCACAAGCAUUUUCCCUCUCCAAAAUGUGUAUAUCCGCAAAGUCAAAAUCUUGAAGGCAAACUUAUGGAGGUCCGUGGUGACUACAAGGAGGAUGUCGGCAUCAAGAAGAUAUCCAGAUGGAAGGUGAAGCAGAAGUUGUUGGUGGCAUAGAAGAGGUUCCAUCUCAACGGGAAUUGCUUUUAGAAACUGGUGGCGACGAUGAGCAGCGAGCAACGCAAGACGAAUUGGGAUUGGAAGAGAGAUUAAAAAGGCAACUGUCAAAAUUCAAGAACCAAUUUGUUUCGGGAGAAUCAAUUUGUUUCGGGAUGGUUUGAGUCAUGGUAUUCGGUACCGAAUGGUACCACCCAGUACGGGCGGUAUGUAUCAAUCCGACGUCAUACUGAUACGCAGAUCGCUUGAUACCCUGGUGUAUCGCUUGGUACGCCCUGACGUAUCGCUCGGUACGUCGGUAUCGUACCGUACUGAAUCAACCUCGAAACAUCGAUACAAUACGAUAUUGUAUACCUUGGUUUUGGUUUGAGUUUACUAUAGGAUGCUAAUGGUCUUCGUUGACGUAAUGCUCGAGACAACACAAA